UGGGGAAUUUUGGACAAUGGGCGAAAGCCUGAUCCAGCAAUGCCGCGUGUGUGAAGAAGGCCUUCGGGUUGUAAAGCACUUUUGUCCGGAAAGAAAUCCUUGGCUCUAAUACAGUCGGGGGAUGACGGUACCGGAAGAAUAAGCACCGGCUAACUACGUGCCAGCAGCCGCGGUAAUACGUAGGGUGCAAGCGUUAAUCGGAAUUACUGGGCGUAAAGCGUGCGCAGGCGGUUUGCUAAGACCGAUGUGAAAUCCCCGGGCUCAACCUGGGAACUGCAUUGGUGACUGGCAGGCUAGAGUAUGGCAGAGGGGGGUAGAAUUCCACGUGUAGCAGUGAAAUGCGUAGAGAUGUGGAGGAAUACCGAUGGCGAAGGCAGCCCCCUGGGCCAAUACUGACGCUCAUGCACGAAAGCGUGGGGAGCAAACAGGAUUAGAUACCCUGGUAGUCCACGCCCUAAAACGAUGUCAACUAGUUGUUGGGGAUUCAUUUCCUUAGUAACGUAGCUAACGCGUGAAGUUGACCGCCUGGGGGAGUACGGUCGCAAGAUUAAAACUCAAAUGAAUUGACGGGGUCAUA
rnacentral:rRNA from 1 species